rnacentral:rRNA from 1 species
UACGGGGGGUGCGAGCGUUAUUCGGAUUUAUUGGGCGUAAAGGGCGCGUAGGCGGCUGGGUAAGUCUGAUGUGAAAACGCUACCGCUCAACGGAGCGAUUGCAUUGGAAACUACCCAACUUGAGUGCAGCAGAGGUGAGCGGAAUUCCUGGUGUAGCGGUGGAAUACGUAGAUAUCAGGAGGAAUACCCGUGGCGAAGGCGGCUCACUGGGCUGUUACUGACGCUGAGGCGCGAAAGCGUGGGGAGCAAACGG